AGAGUUUGAUCAUGGCUCAGAACGAACGCUGGCGGCGUGGAUAAGACAUGCAAGUCGAACGGGAAUGAACGGGUAGCAAUAUUCGGACAUUCUAGUGGCGAAAGGGUGCGUAACACGUAGGUCAUCUACCUCCAAGUGUGGGAUAGCUCGGCGAAAGCCGGAUUAAUACCGCAUGUGGUUCAGGAACGUCAGUUCCGAAAAUUAAAGCCGGGGAUCGUAAGACCUGGCGCUUGGAGAUGAGCCUGCGGCCUAUCAGCUUGUUGGCGGGGUAACGGCCCACCAAGGCUAAGACGGGUAGCUGGUCUGAGAGGACGACCAGCCACACUGGAACUGAGACACGGUCCAGACACCUACGGGUGGCAGCAGUCGAGGAUUUUUCUCAAUGGGCGAAAGCCUGAAGGAGCGACGCCGCGUGGGGGAUGAAGGUCUUCGGAUUGUAAACCCCUGUCACUUGGGAACAAAUUGGUUUGCCUAAUACGUUGACCAUUGAUUGUACCAGGAGAGGAAGACGUGGCUAACUCUGUGCCAGCAGCCGCGGUAAUACAGAGACGUCGAGCGUUGUUCGGAUUCAUUGGGCGUAAAGGGUGCGUAGGCGGUCGGGUAAGUCGGACGUGAAAUCCCAGAGCUUAACUCUGGAAGGGCAUCCGAAACUACCUGGCUCGAGGACUGGAGGGGAGACUGGAAUUCUCGGUGUAGCGGUGAAAUGCGUAGAUAUCGAGAGGAACACCUGUGGCGAAGGCGGGUCUCUGGACAGUUCCUGACGCUGAGGCACGAAAGCUAGGGUAGCAAACGGGAUUAGAUACCCUAGUAGUCC
rnacentral:rRNA from 1 species